CUACGUGCCAGCAGCCGCGGUAAUACGUAGGUGGCAAGCGUUGUCCGGAUUUAUUGGGCGUAAAGCGAGCGCAGGCGGUCAAUUAAGUCUGAUGUGAAAGCCCCCGGCUCAACCGGGGAGGGUCAUUGGAAACUGGUUGACUUGAGUGCAGAAGAGGAGAGUGGAAUUCCAUGUGUAGCGGUGAAAUGCGUAGAUAUAUGGAGGAACACCAGUGGCGAAGGCGACUCUCUGGUCUGUAACUGACGCUGAGGCUCGAAAGCGUGGGUAGCAAACAGGAUUAGAUACCCUGGUAGUCCACGCCGUAAACGAUGAGUGCUAAGUGUUGGAGGGUUUCCGCCCUUCAGUGCUGCAGUUAACGCAUUAAGCACUCCGCCUGGGGAGUACGACCGCAAGGUUGAAACUCAAAGGAAUUGACGGGGGCCCGCACAAGCGGUGGAGCAUGUGGUUUAAUUCGAAGCAACGCGAAGAACCUUACCAGGUCUUGACAUCCCUCUGACCGCUCUAGAGAUAGAGCUUUC
rnacentral:rRNA from 1 species